rnacentral:rRNA from 1 species
CGGACGGGUGAGUAAUGCUUGGGAAUCUAGCUUAUGGAGGGGGAUAACUACGGGAAACUGUAGCUAAUACCGCGUAAUAUCGAAAGAUUAAAGUGUGGGACCUUCGGGCCACAUGCCAUAAGAUGAGCCCAAGUGGGAUUAGGUAGUUGGUGAGGUAAAGGCUCGCCAAGCCGACGAUCUCUAGCUGGUCUGAGAGGAUGACCAGCCACACUGGGACUGAGACACGGCCCAG